CAAACUCCGAAUGCCGGUAAGUGAGAGCGCAGCAGUGAGACGGUGGGGGAUAAGCUUCAUCGUCAAGAGGGAAACAGCCCAGACCACCAGCUAAGGCCCCCAAAUAAUUACUAAGUGGCAAAGGAUGUGGGAACACUGAGACAAUCAGGAGGUUCGCCUAGAAGCAGCUAUCCUUUAAAGAGUGCGUAAUAGCUCACUGAUCAAGUGCACCUGCGCCGAAAAUGACUGGGACUAAGUAAUUUGCCGAAGCUGUGGGAUUUUUAAAAAUCGGUAGGGGAGCGUUCCACCUUAGAUAGAAGCAUUAGCGUAAGCGGAUGUGGACGAAGUGGAAGUGAGAAUGUCGGCUUGAGUAGCGAAAACAUUGGUGAGAAUCCAAUGCCCCGAAAACCUAAGGUUUCCUCCGGAAGGCUCGUCCGCGGAGGGUGAGUCAGGACCUAAGGUGAGGCCGAAAGGCGUAACUAAUGGACAACGGGUUAAUAUUCCUGUACCAUUUAUUACUGGUAUCGAGGGACGGAGAAGGCUAAACCAUCCGGAUGUUGGUUACCGGUUUAAACGUUAAAGGUGUUGAGAAACGGAGAAAACGUUUUGAGCUAAGGCGUGAAUACGAGAUACUAAGGUAUCGAAGUGGUUGAUGUCAUACUUCCAAGAAAAGCUCGAAAUACCAUAAGUAAUAAAUGCCUGUACCUUAAACCGACACAGGUAGGUAGGUAGAGUAUACCAAGGGGCGCGAGAUAACUCUCUCUAAGGAACUCGGCAAAAUAACCUCGUAACUUCGGAAGAAGAGGUACCCUUGCAAGAGGGUUGCAAUAACCAGACCCUGGCGACUGUUUACCAAAAACACAGGUCUCCGCAAAUUCGUAAGAUUAAGUAUGGAGGCUGACGCCUGCCCAGUGCCGGAAGGUUAAAGAAGUUGGUCAAUCCUCGGAUGAAGCUGGCGACUGAAGCCCCGGUGAACGGCGGCCGUAACUAUAACGGUCCUAAGGUAGCGAAAUUCCUUGUCGGGUAAGUUCCGACCCGCACGAAAGGCGUAACGAUCAGGGUGCUGUCUCGGAGAGAGGCUCGGCGAAAUAGACAUGUCUGUGAAGAUGCGGACUACCUGCACCUGGACAGAAAGACCCUAUGAAGCUUUACUGUAUCUUGGAAUUGGGUUUGGGCCUUGCUUGCGCAGGAUAGGUGGGAGGCUUUGAAGAUAUUCUUGCGGGAAUAUUGGAGCCAAUGGUGAGAUACCACUCUAGCAUGGCUAAAAUUCUAACUUUGAACCGUUAUCCGGUCGAAGAACAGUUUCAGGUGGGCAGUUUGACUGGGGCGGUCGCCUCCUAAAAGGUAACGGAGGCGUGCAAAGGUUCCCUCAGGCUGGUCGGACAUCAGUCGUAGAGUGUAAAGGCAUAAGGGAGCUUGACUGCGAGACCUACAAGUCGAGCAGAGACGAAAGUCGGCCUUAGUGAUCCGACGGUUCCGAGUGGAAGGGCCGUCGCUCAACGGAUAAAAGUUACUCUAGGGAUAACAGGCUGAUCUCCCCCAAGAGUUCAUAUCGACGGGGAGGUUUGGCACCUCGAUGUCGGCUCAUCGCAUCCUGGGGCGGUAGUACGUCCCAAGGGUUGGGCUGUUCGCCCAUGAAAGCGGUACGCGAGCUGGGUUCAGAACGUCGUGAGACAGUUCGGUCCAUAUCCGGUGCAGGCGUUAGAGUAUUGAGAGGAGUCCCCCUUAGUACGAGAGGACCGGGGGGAAUACACCGCUGGUGUACCAGUUAUCGUGCCAACGGUAAACGCUGGGUAGCCAAGUGUAGAGUGGAUAACUGCUGAAAGCAUCUAAGUAGGAAGCCCACCUCAAGAUGAAUACUCUCACCGUUUUAAACGGUUAAGAUCACGGGAAGAACACCCGUUAUAUAGGCACUAAGUGUAAGUACAGUAAUGUAUUCAGCUGAGGUGUACUAACAGAUCGAGGGCU
rnacentral:rRNA from 1 species